CUUUGAAAGAGAUUCAGAACCUUAUUGCUUCUGAUCAACAUCCAAACAUUGUUAGAUGGUAUGGAGUGGAGUAUGACCAAGAUUUUGUAUAUCUUGCUUUGGAGCGUUGCACUUGCAGCUNNNNNNNNNNNUGUAUUCUGAAUCUUUUCAAAGUCAAAUGCUUUCCAAGGAUGCAGAUUCCAACCGCCUGCCUGAGUUUACUAUUCAAUUACAUUCAAUGUUGGAACAUAGCAG
rnacentral:misc_RNA from 1 species